rnacentral:rRNA from 1 species
AUGAACGCUAGCUACAGGCUUAACACAUGCAAGUCGAGGGGCAGCAUGGUCUUAGCUUGCUAAGGCUGAUGGCGACCGGCGCACGGGUGAGUAACACGUAUCCAACCUGCCGUCUACUCUUGGCCAGCCUUCUGAAAGGAAGAUUAAUCCAGGAUGGGAUCAUGAGUUCACAUGUCCGCAUGAUUAAAGGUAUUUUCCGGUAGACGAUGGGGAUGCGUUCCAUUAGAUAGUAGGCGGGGUAACGGCCCACCUAGUCAACGAUGGAUAGGGGUUCUGAGAGGAAGGUCCCCCACAUUGGAACUGAGACACGGUCCAAACUCCUACGGGAGGCAGCAGUGAGGAAUAUUGGUCAAUGGGCGAUGGCCUGAACCAGCCAAGUAGCGUGAAGGAUGACUGCCCUAUGGGUUGUAAACUUCUUUUAUAAAGGAAUAAAGUCGGGUAUGCAUACCCGUUUGCAUGUACUUUAUGAAUAAGGAUCGGCUAACUCCGUGCCAGCAGCCGCGGUAAUACGGAGGAUCCGAGCGUUAUCCGGAUUUAUUGGGUGUAAAGGGUGCGUAGACGGGAAGGUAAGUUAGUUGUGAAAUCCCUCGGCUCAACUGAGGAACUGCGACUAAAACUGCUUUUCUUGAGUGCUGGAGAGGAAAGUGGAAUUCCUAGUGUAGCGGUGAAAUGCGUAGAUAUUAGGAGGAACACCAGUGGCGAAGGCGACUUUCUGGACAGUAACUGACGUUGAGGCACGAAAGUGUGGGGAGCAAACAGGAUUAGAUACCCUGGUAGUCCACACCGUAAACGAUGGAUACUAGGUGUAGGGGAUAUUAAGUCUUCUGUGCCGUCGCAAACGCAGUAAGUAUCCCACCUGGGGAGUACGGCCGCAAGGUUGAAACUCAAAGGAAUUGACGGGGGCCCGCACAAGCGGAGGAACAUGUGGUUUAAUUCGAUGAUACGCGAGGAACCUUACCCAGGCUCGAACGGCAGCUGAAUUGAGUAGAGAUAUUCAAGUCUUCGGACGGCUGUCGAGGUGCUGCAUGGUUGUCGUCAGCUCGUGCCGUGAGGUGUCGGCUUAAGUGCCAUAACGAGCGCAACCCUUGUUGUCAGUUACUAACAGGUGAUGCUGAGGACUCUGACAAGACUGCCAUCGUAAGAUGUGAGGAAGGUGGGGAUGACGUCAAAUCAGCACGGCCCUUACGUCCGGGGCUACACACGUGUUACAAUGGGGGGUACAGAGGGCCGCUACCACGCGAGUGGAUGCCAAUCCCUAAAACCCCUCUCAGUUCGGACUGGAGUCUGCAACCCGACUCCACGAAGCUGGAUUCGCUAGUAAUCGCGCAUCAGCCACGGCGCGGUGAAUACGUUCCCGGGCCUUGUACACACCGCCCGUCAAGCCAUGGGAGCCGGGGGUACCUGAAGUGCGUAACCGCGAGGAUCGCCCUAGGGUAAAACUGGUGACUGGGGCU